GGGUUGUGAGGUUAAGCGACUAAGCGUACACGGUGGAUGCCCUGGCAGUCAGAGGCGAUGAAGGACGUGCUAAUCUGCGAUAAGCGUCGGUGAGGUGAUAUGAACCGUUAUAACCGGCGAUUUCCGAAUGGGGAAACCCAGUGUGUUUCGACACACUAUCAUUAACUGAAUCCAUAGGUUAAUGAGGCGAACCGGGGGAACUGAAACAUCUAAGUACCCCGAGGAAAAGAAAUCAACCGAGAUUCCCCCAGUAGCGGCGAGCGAACGGGGAGGAGCCCAGAGCCUGAAUCAGUGUGUGUGUUAGUGGAAGCGUCUGGAAAGGCGUGCGAUACAGGGUGACAGCCCCGUACACAAAAAUGCACAUAUUGUGAGCUCGAUGAGUAGGGCGGGACACGUGGUAUCCUGUCUGAAUAUGGGGGGACCAUCCUCCAAGGCUAAAUACUCCUGACUGACCGAUAGUGAACCAGUACCGUGAGGGAAAGGCGAAAAGAACCCCGGCGAGGGGAGUGAAAAAGAACCUGAAACCGUGUACGUACAAGCAGUGGGAGCCUCUUAAUGGGGUGACUGCGUACCUUUUGUAUAAUGGGUCAGCGACUUAUAUUCUGUAGCAAGGUUAACCGAAUAGGGGAGCCGAAGGGAAACCGAGUCUUAACUGGGCGUUAAGUUGCAGGGUAUAGACCCGAAACCCGGUGAUCUAGCCAUGGGCAGGUUGAAGGUUGGGUAACACUAACUGGAGGACCGAACCGACUAAUGUUGAAAAAUUAGCGGAUGACUUGUGGCUGGGGGUGAAAGGCCAAUCAAACCGGGAGAUAGCUGGUUCUCCCCGAAAGCUAUUUAGGUAGCGCCUCGUGAAUUCAUCUCCGGGGGUAGAGCACUGUUUCGGCAAGGGGGUCAUCCCGACUUACCAACCCGAUGCAAACUGCGAAUACCGGAGAAUGUUAUCACGGGAGACACACGGCGGGUGCUAACGUCCGUCGUGAAGAGGGAAACAACCCAGACCGCCAGCUAAGGUCCCAAAGUCAUGGUUAAGUGGGAAACGAUGUGGGAAGGCCCAGACAGCCAGGAUGUUGGCUUAGAAGCAGCCAUCAUUUAAAGAAAGCGUAAUAGCUCACUGGUCGAGUCGGCCUGCGCGGAAGAUGUAACGGGGCUAAACCAUGCACCGAAGCUGCGGCAGCGACACUAUGUGUUGUUGGGUAGGGGAGCGUUCUGUAAGCCUGUGAAGGUGGCCUGUGAGGGUUGCUGGAGGUAUCAGAAGUGCGAAUGCUGACAUAAGUAACGAUAAAGCGGGUGAAAAGCCCGCUCGCCGGAAGACCAAGGGUUCCUGUCCAACGUUAAUCGGGGCAGGGUGAGUCGACCCCUAAGGCGAGGCCGAAAGGCGUAGUCGAUGGGAAACAGGUUAAUAUUCCUGUACUUGGUGUUACUGCGAAGGGGGGACGGAGAAGGCUAUGUUGGCCGGGCGACGGUUGUCCCGGUUUAAGCGUGUAGGCUGGUUUUCCAGGCAAAUCCGGAAAACCAAGGCUGAGGCGUGAUGACGAGGCACUACGGUGCUGAAGCGACAAAUGCCCUGCUUCCAGGAAAAGCCUCUAAGCAUCAGGUAACAUCAAAUCGUACCCCAAACCGACACAGGUGGUCAGGUAGAGAAUACCAAGGCGCUUGAGAGAACUCGGGUGAAGGAACUAGGCAAAAUGGUGCCGUAACUUCGGGAGAAGGCACGCUGAUAUGUAGGUGAAGCGACUUGCUCGUGGAGCUGAAAUCAGUCGAAGAUACCAGCUGGCUGCAACUGUUUAUUAAAAACACAGCACUGUGCAAACACGAAAGUGGACGUAUACGGUGUGACGCCUGCCCGGUGCCGGAAGGUUAAUUGAUGGGGUUAGCGGCAACGCGAAGCUCUUGAUCGAAGCCCCGGUAAACGGCGGCCGUAACUAUAACGGUCCUAAGGUAGCGAAAUUCCUUGUCGGGUAAGUUCCGACCUGCACGAAUGGCGUAAUGAUGGCCAGGCUGUCUCCACCCGAGACUCAGUGAAAUUGAACUCGCUGUGAAGAUGCAGUGUACCCGCGGCAAGACGGAAAGACCCCGUGAACCUUUACUAUAGCUUGACACUGAACAUUGAGCCUUGAUGUGUAGGAUAGGUGGGAGGCUUUGAAGUGUGGACGCCAGUCUGCAUGGAGCCGACCUUGAAAUACCACCCUUUAAUGUUUGAUGUUCUAACGUUGGCCCGUAAUCCGGGUUGCGGACAGUGUCUGGUGGGUAGUUUGACUGGGGCGGUCUCCUCCUAAAGAGUAACGGAGGAGCACGAAGGUUGGCUAAUCCUGGUCGGACAUCAGGAGGUUAGUGCAAUGGCAUAAGCCAGCUUGACUGCGAGCGUGACGGCGCGAGCAGGUGCGAAAGCAGGUCAUAGUGAUCCGGUGGUUCUGAAUGGAAGGGCCAUCGCUCAACGGAUAAAAGGUACUCCGGGGAUAACAGGCUGAUACCGCCCAAGAGUUCAUAUCGACGGCGGUGUUUGGCACCUCGAUGUCGGCUCAUCACAUCCUGGGGCUGAAGUAGGUCCCAAGGGUAUGGCUGUUCGCCAUUUAAAGUGGUACGCGAGCUGGGUUUAGAACGUCGUGAGACAGUUCGGUCCCUAUCUGCCGUGGGCGCUGGAGAACUGAGGGGGGCUGCUCCUAGUACGAGAGGACCGGAGUGGACGCAUCACUGGUGUUCGGGUUGUCAUGCCAAUGGCACCGCCCGGUAGCUAAAUGCGGAAGAGAUAAGUGCUGAAAGCAUCUAAGCACGAAACUUGCCCCGAGAUGAGUUCUCCCUGACUCCUUGAGAGUCCUGAAGGAACGUUGAAGACGACGACGUUGAUAGGCCGGGUGUGUAAGCGCAGCGAUGCGUUGAGCUAACCGGUACUAAUGAACCGUGAGGCUUAACCUUACAACGCCGAAG
rnacentral:rRNA from 1 species